GAUAAACGCUGGCGGCGUGCCUAAUACAUGCAAGUCGAGCGAACGGACGAGAAGCUUGCUUUUCUGAUGUUAGCGGCGGACGGGUGAGUAACACGUGGAUAACCUACCUAUAAGACUGGGAUAACUUCGGGAAACCGGAGCUAAUACCGGAUAAUAUUUUGAACCGCAUGGUUCAAAAGUGAAAGACGGUCUUGCUGUCACUUAUAGAUGGAUCCGCGCUGCAUUAGCUAGUUGGUAAGGUAACGGCUUACCAAGGCAACGAUGCAUAGCCGACCUGAGAGGGUGAUCGGCCACACUGGAACUGAGACACGGUCCAGACUCCUACGGGAGGUAGCAGUAGGGAAUCUUCCGCAAUGGGCGAAAGCCUGACGGAGCAACGCCGCGUGAGUGAUGAAGGUCUUCGGAUCGUAAAACUCUGUUAUUAGGGAAGAACAUAUGUGUAAGUAACUGUGCACAUCUUGACGGUACCUAAUCAGAAAGCCACGGCUAACUACGUG
rnacentral:rRNA from 1 species